rnacentral:rRNA from 1 species
UACGGAGGGGGCUAGCGUUGUUCGGAAUUAUUGGGCGUAAAGGGCGCGUAGGCGGCCGAAUUAGUCAGGCGUGAAAUCCCGCGGCUCAACCGCGGAACUGCGUUUGAUACUGUUUGGCUUGAGUCCCGGAGAGGGUAGUGGAAUUCCUAGUGUAGCGGUGAAAUGCGUAGAUAUUAGGAGGAACACCAGUGGCGAAGGCGACUACCUGGACGGGUACUGACGCUGAGGCGCGAAAGCAUGGGUAGCAAACAGG